UCUUUAAUAGUUUAAAUUUAAAAAUUUUUAGCUUCGGUCUAAAAGAUAGGUAUUUUAUCUUUAAGGUU
rnacentral:tRNA from 1 species